rnacentral:rRNA from 1 species
AUACGGAGGGUGCAAGCGUUAAUCGGAAUUACUGGGCGUAAAGGGCGCGUAGGUGGUUCGGUCAGUCGGAUGUGAAAGCCCCGGGCUCAACUCGGGAAUUGCAUUCGAUACUGCCAGGCUAGAAUGUAGUAGAGGGAAGUGGAAUUCCGGGUGUAGCGGUGAAAUGCGUAGACAUCCGGAGGAACACCAGUGGCGAAGGCGGCUUCCUGGAUCAAGACUGACGCUGAGGCUCGAAAGCGUGGGGAGCAAACAGGAUUAGAUACCCCGGUAGUCC